GUUGGAAAUCAUGAAUACAGCAUUAGAAUAAUGAUUUUCUUUGCUGCUGACAAAGUAGGUCUAUCAGCUAAGUAAAGUUUUUUCACUUGUCAAUGUAAUAUCGUUAGUUGAUUGUCCAGGACAUAAGCAACUAAGCUGAUGCAGAAUUUGCUAGGCAUUUUAGGACUGCUACCUACUUUAGGGGAAAAAAUGUAGGAAUCAAAAUUUUAUUCUAUUUAGGAAUUUCGUGUUGAUUUGUGAUUCCUAAUUAGUAUUAGAUUUAGGGUUCCUAAUCCUAAUAUUAGUAGGAUUACAAAUACUCUACAUAU
rnacentral:misc_RNA from 1 species